rnacentral:lncRNA from 1 species
UGGGAACUCAAGUGUGAGAGCUUCGUUACUACGAAAGUAUGUGACGGUUCAAAGAAGAGAAAUAAAUUAUUGAAUCGUUAAUGUCCAAAAGUGAUAUUCAGGUCAAUAAUUUUGGAUUCAUUAUCAGAUUAAUGGACUGCAGGUCACUUUUAAUUAAGUCAAUAAAUCGGGCCAUACAGGGUCGAUUGUAGAAGCUAAAUAAUAUUAACAUACGGGUUAAAUUAUUUUAGAAUGCUAGAAUAAUAGCUUGUGGGUUGAAAAAUGCCCCAAAAUAAUUUGGGCAUGGGUGCCGUGAAAAAAAAAAGGAAGGCACGGGGUGCCUUGAGUAAAAACGGCAAGGCCCAAAAGGGCCUCGGGGUAUGGCUGUAGGCCACCGGGGAGGGAACG